UAAUAGCGGACGAUUCCCGCCGCCUUGAGAUACUCAAGAUGGCGGCGAAACGUCUGAAAAAACAUGUGACAGGCAUCAAUGAACGCGCGCGGCAUCAAGGCAGAAAAUUCUAAGGAACUUUAGCUGCACUCACCAUGACAGGCUGAUAAACCUUCUCUUAAGGUACCUGUAACCUGCUUACACUCCAGGUUGGAUUAGCAUUUAUUGCAUUUAUUGUGGAUGAAAGCUGCGAAGAGACAUUCGCACAAAUUGCGGUCGACACCCUUACGAACGAACUACAAAGCAGUACUGAAUAAGAUUUCAGACUGUACUAUUCAUCCUGCCACCUAUACGAAAACAGCCUCUCACACAAAAGUAAUUAUUAUCAACACCAAAGUGCUGUCUACUAUCUACACCUUACAACAAUACAAAAUACAAUCCAUAACCCAGAAGGUAAAAAUACUAGUUACGAAUAGACAUGCGAAAUUAGUUAUGAGUAUCAUGGCGAAUAUAAGAUAUUUCCCAAGAAGUGGCACCACCAGCGAAGUGGGUGGAAUAAUUUCCACGACCAGAAGGAAGAACACGUGUAGACUAAUUAAGAUGGAUAUAGAGAGAGUCACCUGGAACGAUACAGAUAUACACAGAUUUAUCCAGACCCCAUGAAGAUUUAAGACGCCUCGGAGUAAUAAGCAGGACAAUUCCAAUUUAUUGCUGGGAUGAAGAUUCUAAGAAACGGAAAGGUGGGACGAGCGGGCAGGGGAGGAAUUUUUAAAGAUGCUGCUGCACAAGGAGGCGUACCGAGGGUGAAAAAAAUUUAAGGGGCCGAAGGAAUAAGCCGUAUAGUACCCGUGACACUUAGCCCUUAUUUUCAUUAAACAAGAUGGAUGUAUCUCGCGAGUAAAUAAGAAUCCAUUUUCAACUAUAAUAACAAUGGUAGAUGCGGUACGUUAAAAUUGUUCAAGAAAAUUAAUCAAUCAUCCAGAUGAAUUCCAAUUGUUUAUACAUUCGAGAUAAAUCAAUCAAUUAAGUUCUGUAUAUAACUAUCUGUGGCAGAAGGUAUCGUUAACGAGCUCGACAUGGAUACAUGGCUAACAGUCGUUAGGUUACAUAUCCCAUGGGAAAGUUUAACGGGGUCCAUUAACCUGCACAGUUCAUUGCAGUAUACCCGGUAGAGUUGUGAUUACAACGGGGACCUGGAAUCCUCUAGUGGCACUUAGGGACAUAAAUUUCAUACCGGUGUCAAAAUAGCUUAGUAUUCGAAUCCUACUAGGAAUCUAGGAAUCGAGUUUCUCUAAUCCUAAAUCUAUUUGGCUCUUCGAAUUACGUCCAGAGGUUUAUAUGGUACAUAUAUACCCCCUCGAGUGCCCUGCUUACUGCCCUCGAAUGUACUGCACCUUGACCACGUGAUGGAUAUUAUAUUACUCUUACCUAUAGUACGUUAUUAAACUGUACGACGUAGAAAAACAAGAUUCCCCGGUACAUAGGUGUAUGGCUGUUAGGAAAUUUCACGAAUAUAAUUUUCACCCUGACACCGUUCGCAGUCUCUCGAAUCUCUUGAAAAGUUGCAUAAGUAAACUCGUUCCGGAAGUUAUAUUUAUCCGGGUAAAGUUUGUUACUUUUUCGCUAGGGAUGGCCGAGAGCGUGUAUCGCGAAGAAAACAAGAACCCUUGACUGUUGGGAACGUACAAUGCGCAGUGGGACCUUUCAUUUUUUGCUUGUGGAGAUCCGGACUCGCAUCGAUCAUGGGGAAGUUGGUAACAGAAGAGAAGAUCUGUAAAAAUAUCUUACAGGAACAGAACGGAAAUCCGCUUUGCUGUAUUUUUCCGCACGAGUUUCCUCACUCCUGGCGCUGAAAUAAAAGUGAGCGAUGGAAGCUCCAGAAAAAUCGAUGGAAACAACGUGAAAAUCCAUAUACAUAAGCGCAUAUUAGAGCAAAGGAUAUUAUUUCCAUGACAAAAGCUGCAGGUGGCACAUUUCGAUGCUUAUUAAUCUCACAUAUUGGCUGGCCACCCUCAAAAUGGUUACCCACAGACAUAGCACAAUGGCGUCGUUUUGGUGAAUACAGAGGGAUCUUCCCUCGAUACUGGAGUGAGGUUAGGUCAAUAUUAGCUCUUCUUUCCAUACGUUUCCGUUAUCCUUACAAGAGCCAUAAGUGCCUCACUUUCUCGAUAAGCGUUACUUUUUCUCUCAGAAAUCCCCUGACGACUCGCCAAACCCUACAGGAAUGGAACCGAACGGCAAGAACUACCACUUCGAUUGAUCUUCUUCACGAGUGAAUUCGACCAACCUCAAGUAGGUUCAUUCGCCUGAACGGUUAACGGUUAGAGUGAACCUUAAGGAUUAACAUGAAGGAUCAGUGAUCGAAUAGUAAUUAGCCGUAAGAAUUUUCCACGAGAUCGUUCUGAUCAGUGGACGUGACUGGUUCGGGGAGCAGUGCUGCCACCUGGUACGUCAACGUGAAAAUGUUAGGACAUUAAACUCAAAGCUUCCCUAAUGUCAGCCUAUAAGACGGCUGAGUGCACUUGGCUUCAAACUGCCAGCAUCGCGAAGUCCAUGCUACGCGACAACAAAGACUGAUAACAGGAUAACCCAAGAAUGAAGACAGCAAUGGCGACCUCCAGGAGGACUUUUAGAAAUUCCUACGUUAAAUCAACUCCCGUAAUGCCCCCCCGAAGUCUUCUGGUCGUCGACUUUUCUGAAAACGGGAAAUUGCUUGAGGAACUUUUUCAAGUGUGUACGCCUGAUGAUUUA